GAGAAUUACUGUAGUUCUUCAUCGCCUUCUGCUUCCAACAAUUCGAGUAACUACAGUUGUUCAUCGUAGUCGUCAAUUCGUGUAGGAAAUCGUUAUUAAACCUGCCAAUUCAUCUGCAGUUGUGGACGAUGGAAGAAGUGUUGGUUGUACCCGAAUGUUCUCAAGAGUUUAUUCCGGUUGUUGGUCAGAUGGUCAAAUCACUUCACUACGUUGUUGCCUUUUAUGACGUCAUCUUUAUAUCAACCAAUACAUCAAGUCCUUAUGAUGGCUAUGUUUAAAAGUGACGGCGUACAUUAUUAUACCAUUUUCGUACAUUAUCUUAUAUAAUUUUUGUUUGUAUCCUUUGGGUUUUUGGUUUCACACAG